rnacentral:rRNA from 1 species
GUAGGGAAUAUUGGGCAAUGGGUGCAAGCCUGACCCAGCCAUCCCGCGUGCCGGAUGAAGGCCCUCUGGGUCGUAAACGGCUUUUGACGGCGAAGAACCGAAAGGGUGCGCCCUUUUUUGACGGUAGCCGUUGAAUAAGCACCGGCUAACUCCGUGCCAGCAGCCGCGGUAAUACGGAGGGUGCGAGCGUUGUCCGGAUUUAUUGGGUUUAAAGGGUGCGUAGGCUGGAGGGACAGUCAGCGGUGAAAAGCAGUUGCUCAACAAUUGUCUUGCCGCAGAUACUACCUUUCUUGGAUUGGGAGGAGGUUACCGGAACGGAUGGUGUAGCGGUGAAAUGCAUAGAUAUCAUCCAGAACGCCAAUUGCGAAGGCAGGUAACUGUACCUAUAUCGACGCUGAUGCACGAAAGCAUGGGUAGCGAACAGGAUUAGAAACCCGAGUAGUCC